rnacentral:rRNA from 1 species
UGCGGGGGGAGCAAGCGUUGUUCGGAUUUACUGGGCGUAAAGGGCGCGUAGGCGGCCAGCGCAAGUCAGUUGUGAAAUCUCCGGGCUUAACUCGGAACGGUCAACUGAUACUGCGCGGCUAGAGUGCGGAAGGGGCAACUGGAAUUCUCGGUGUAGCGGUGAAAUGCGUAGAUAUCGAGAGGAACACCUGCGGCGAAGGCGGGUUGCUGGGCCGACACUGACGCUGAUGCGCGAAAGCCAGGGGAGCGAACGGG